rnacentral:lncRNA from 1 species
CCGUCCCGAUGUUACAUAUACCAGAGCAUGACCCACUAAGGAACUACACUAGACUCCAAGCACUAGCUUCUACUCAAUCACUGCUCGUUACCUGAAAAUAGUUGUAAGGGUGAGUUCCUCAAUCGAUAUAAUAAGCAUUAUAAAAUAUCAUGUAAUGCUAAGUAAAUUAACACAUUCAUCACCCUAAUCAUAUCACACAUUCAGCAACGGCAACAUCAACUCAUAAUCAUACUCACACAAACACAAAACACACGUAUAAUAUUGGAAUACAUCCAUUUCAUAUUAUACGCCAUACAUACAUUAUGAAAUGAGACUCCAUGCAUGCGGUACCGACUAUUCGUGAACACAUAUUCAACCUCACCGAUCAAACCCAGAUACGGCUACAAGCUCACUAGUCCCACUCAUUUGAGACCUAGUGACUCCCUCACUAAUUCCUCACCAUGGGAAUUAGCUCCACCAUAAAGGCUAUGCUAGCACGCUUAAAUCACCUACAUGCAAACAUCAACAACAAUCCACAAUGGACAUAUGCUCCACUCUAAGCCAUAAACAGUCCAUCCACAAUUGCAUACAUAAUAGAUAUUUCACAGAGCAUUAUGCAUACCAUCAUACAUCAUCAGCAUAUUUACACAGAAUCAUAUCAUGUCAUUGCCAAAUAAUAAAUCACAGUAUUAGCACACUCUACUAAUACCUAUACUGCUCAAAACAACGGGAAAUGAUCCCUACUAUAUCAUUACAUAAGCUAAAUUACAUCACUCAGCUGAAACGACCAAAACUGCACAACAACAGCUCAAGAAAAUCAAACUUCUGCCCAACACGUAUGCCUCAUGCCCAUACGCGUAUGGCACAUUUCCUAGCCAAGCCCAUACAAUAUGUACACAUAAUUCCAUUCAAAACGUACACAAUAUUUAAAUAUCAAUUUUUCACUUUUCAAACAGUUGUUAACCUGUUAACGCAAUUGGUUAACCUGUUAACGCAAGACAGAAUACAAUUUUACAGUAUUUCAACAAUGUUAACCGGUUAACGCCCUGGGUAACCUGUUAACGCAAGACAGAAAUUAAUUUUUUAAUUAUCAUAACAGUGUUAACCGGUUAACGCAAGACAGAAAGCUGUUCCUGCGCUAACAACGAACAGAAUGCAGAAUUACCCGCAUUUUUCGCCGUUGGAGGACUUCCGGACCUCCGAUUUCGAUUCCGUUAAAAAGCUACCGUCCAGAAAAUUACGACUCAUCCAAAUAUAGAUUCAUUCACAGUUUUAACGUAAUUUAUUCAUUCACAAUCAAGGUAUUUAUCAAACCUAAUAAUUCCAAUUCAAGCCAAUUAAGGAUUUCAACCUAAAACAUGUUCCUACCCAUUUACCCAAUCAUAAUAAACCAUAAUAAUAAGGAUUUCCCCCCUUACCUGAGUUAAUCCGGCAAAUCCUUUAACUUCAAGCUUUUUCCCUUCUUCAACCCUUUUUUCUCUUGCUCUUCCUUUUUGCCCUUUUUCCACUUUUUAGUCGCUUCUCUGUUUUCACGUGUAAAAACCUUUUUACUAAAUGGGACUCUUUAUUGAUUCCAAAAAUCGUUCCAAUCCAACUUUAUUAUUCAAUAAUAAUAAUCCAAUAAUAUUCCAAUUAUUUAAUUAAAUUAAUAAAUAUACUAAUAAUAAUAUUAUGAAUGGUUUAUCUUUUAUUUUGAAAAAUAAUACCCUCUCAUUCAUAUUAUCCAUAAUAUACUAUUAAAAUUAAAUUAAAUAAUUAUCAUAUUUAUCGGGGUGUUACAAACUCUCCCCCCGCCUAAAGAGUUUUCGUCUCGAAAACUACCCAAGCGAAUAACUCUGGAUUAAGACUCCUUCAUCUGACUCUCAAAGUUCCCAAGUCACAUUGCCACCUGCUGGUCCUCCCCAAGCUACCUUUACCAAAGCAAUCUCUUUACCCCGCAACUGCUUCAACUCUCGAUCCUCGAUCCUCAUAGGUGAUGUUUCAACAGUCAGGUUAUCUCUCACCUGUACACAUCUACUUGGACCACAUGCGACGGAUCAGGAAUGUACCCUCCUCAACUGAGACACAUGAAAAUCUCAUGCAAAUCGCAAGUGACGGCGGUAAAGCGAUACGAUAGGCUACCUCCCCUAUCCUCUCCAAAACUGAUAAGGACCAAUAAAUCGGAGUGUCAACUUUCUUCGACUUCAAAGCUCGACCAACCCCAGUUAUCGGAAGUAACACGAAGAAACACAUGAUCUCCCUCUUGAAACUCAAAGUGACUUCCUCCUCUUGUCGUGAUAACUCUUCUGACGACUCUGAGCAAUCCUCAUCUUCUCCUGAAUCAUCUUAAUCUUUUCCGUAGUUUGUUGAACAUAUCUCCGGUCCAACACAACACUCUCACCGGACUCAUACCAACAUAAAGGUUGUCCGACAUCUCCUACCAUACAAAGCAUCAAACGGUGCCAUACAAUGCUCGAAUGAAAACUAUUGUUUGUAGGUAAACUCAAUCAAAGGGUAAAAUGCACUAAACAAAGAGCGAUCCAACAAGCGUCAUUAAACCUCCUCAUAUUUAUCUCCACAAACAUCAAAAGUCCAACGUGUCCAAAGCAUUCCUUCCAGAUGAUAAACAUGAAGCGUCCCUCUUCUCAGGGUACUGUGAGAUCUCUGCGUAAUUUCAUUUCCUGCACCUCAGCAGAAGAUAGAUAAAUGCGAGAGAAAUACCUUGUCUUAAGUAUGCUCAAGACUUUAAGUCUACUCUCCAGAGGUACAACUAUCAUACGUGCUCUCGAAAAUGCUAAUCUUUGCCAUAUUUACUCGAUUGUACAACAUCUUCAGAACUCCUCUCUACCAAAGAAAGAGAUACACGUUUAAAGUAGAUUGAUCAUUUAAGGUCACUAAUACUCAAUACGACAGGAGGGAAUGAACCAUGCAAACUUUAGCAAUUGUUUCGUCAAUAGUACAACUCCAGCUUGCAUAUCUGUCUCUAACGGAUAAUCUCUAGUUUAUCUUGUCUCUCUCGAGUCAAUAAAAUUGAGAUUGCAAUUGUGAAAGUUCACACGAUUAUUAUGGCUCUUCCAAUCCUAGUCAAAAACAAUUCACCCAAAUAGCUUCAAACUAAAUUUUCUAUCUAACAACUUGGUCUCUCAUCUCUCCAAUCUGUUGGUGUGGUGUGAGAAAUCCUCAGGAUAAUCCCCUGAGAGUCCUUAAUUUAAAUCACCUUUUUUCACAUAUGGUUAUCUUGUAUACUACUUCCCUCAUGACACACCUCCAUCUCGUCGAUUGGUUACUACCUUCUCUGAUAUGAGGCAAUAGGAUGCAUCAUUCAAUGUCCUCCCAACGUAUCCCAUCGGCUCUUGUCAUUUCGCUCUUACUUCGGCACUCUCUAAAUACUCUCCUCAUAACCUAGGACAUACACUCCUCAAUUCCAACAAGCACCUCGCUCACCAACUGUACUAGAAAUAGACACACUAGUAUAAACGGUAACGUCAAUGUAUCUAACCUUUUUUCCUCCACACUUUAGUUCGCACCACCAAAAAUCCUUUAAUUCUUACUCUAUCAAAUCAUGAUGUGAACAUCUUCUGCUUUAAGUGCGCCCAGAGAGUAAAAUUCCUUUCUUAUGUUAUAAACAUUACCUUGGCGGUCACUAGCGGAUUUUCCUUCACAUCUCAAGACGCAAAAUUUACUUUAUAUCUUUAAACCUCCUUUGAUCUUUGAUCUACAAUUCAAAAACUUUUAAAACAUUAAAAUGGAUGAGUUUCCUCUACCACAGAUCUUGCAUUCCUUAAGAAUUGAGAAUAAAUAAAAAAAAUAGGUAGUCGUAAUGCGAUAUACGGAGGUCGAAAGAUAGUAAUACAUCAAACAAUGUUAAACCUCCGGAAAUAGUUACUCCAAGUAUUUCAAAACACCCGAAGAAUAUUAUUUCGUUCUACUUGAAUAAAGCAACCUUAAACUGCAUCAAUCUUAUCCUAACCUUGAUUCUCUCCCAUCACUAUAAGAUUGUAUGCACUUUGAUCAUGAACUCAGAUACUCUCUCUUAUCGUCUAUAUUCCAUACAUCUGCACUACAACGUUUGAUGUUAUUUGAUGAUAGUGAAAGGGCUGAGCUUUGAGGUUGUUAUGAGAGCGCAUUAAAAAUAAGUAAAAACAUGUUAUUUUGAACUUCUUCGAGUCAGAGAAAGUAUUGGGUAUGAUCUCAGUUUCUGAAUGAAAAAUAGAAUUAGAUACUCAAAGAACUAUAAGAGAGAUUGUUUUUUUAGCCAUUUGAUUUAAUUAGUGUUUGAGUAAAGAAUCAUGUGAUUCGAAUGAAGGUUGAUUCAUGAAUCAAUUAAUAGGAAAAUUUUCAAGGAUUUGAGAGACUAAAUUAUUGAUUUUAAAUUAGUAUUUAGUGUGACUUCCAAUCAGAGUACUGAUUAGUUGAUUCGAGAAGUUAAGAGGAAAAUUGGCUUGUGAUGUGGUCAAUUGUUGUGCUGCGUAGUGACCAAAACUUAAGAUUUUUUGAUUUUAUAUAUAUUUAUGGUAUCGGAUGCUUUAACGUUUGGUGUCUUUAGGUGGCAACAAUGUUAAUAAUACACGGGCUAAUUUUAUAGUAAUACCGAAAUUCUUUGAUAUGAUGAGAAAGUAAAUUCUUGAGUACAAUAAGAGAAUUAAACAGAAUUCGUUAUAGUGGCUUUUUAGGAAUUAUUUCUAUCCAUUUGUGUGGUCUAUCGUUAUAUAGAAUGUAUCAUUGCCAUGAAAAAGUUAUAUUUUGACCUGAGGCCAGAGGUGGACUGAUGCGAAAAACAAUGUAUUUCUUGUGAGAUUAUAAAUAUGUCGUUGAAUUUUGUGUGUGUCUCCUUAGUGUGCAUUUCAUAACUUUUGAGCCAUCUUUGGUUCUACGAUAGUUCAAAUGAAUUUUAUUGUAUAGUACUAGUAACGCACGUUACUGAGAGGCUAGACUCCGUAACACAACUCAUGUUCUGGAAUCUAAUAACCAUGUCAACUCGAGAGGAGUAUUAAGUUUUGAUUUAAGAAAAAUUAAAGUAUUUGAGUUUGAAGUAUUCUAAAAGUGUCAUUUGUGAUUGUGAUUAGUAUGUUCAUGUUGAUUUUAUUUCUCUCGUGAGUGGUCUACUAUGAAGUAACCUAUUAAGUAAGCUAUUUGGGGGAUGUUGUUUGAAUCUAGAUUAUAUAUACUUAACAUACAAUAUUUAGGCUCCAAUAUGUUCAUUCGCGUAGUCUAGUGAUACUAGAGAGGUUUUUCUGUUUUAUAAUAGGCAUUUAUAAGCAACAUGAAAGAUCCGGUGAUUUAAUAUAAUAUUUGAGAAAAUUUGUAACGCGAUUUGACAUGUCAACGUCAUUUAUCGCGGAUUACGAUGAUCGUGUGGUUGCUCAAGAUAUGAGAGAUCCUAAGAUUAUACCUUAUCUGAAAGUUCUUGAGGAAGAGGGGACUAUUCUGCAAGGUAUGGGCAUUUUGCGUGUAACUAAGCAUAAAGAAUUGUGAGAUUUCAUGCCAAAUAGAUCAUACCGAGUGAUAUCCUGAAUGGUCAGAUCUGAGAAACGAGAAGGCGAGACAGAUUCAAGUCACUCACUGGAAGUGAUCAUUUUUGGUAGUGACAUUGUGUGCGUUUUGAAUAUGGAAAAACGUGUGAGGCUGUCUUUGUGGUAGUGUAAUAUUUAUAUCCUUUCUUGAUUAGAGCGCGUUUUACUCCUGUACAACAAUAUAGAGUGGUCUUUUUGAUUCAAAUUCGAAGCUCUUAGUGUGUCGAUAUAAUGGGCGAACCGUAGUUAGAAUAAUAGCGUUUGGUCUAAGAUACUAUUAAAUUUGGAUCUAUGGCAAGAAAUUGUCGCGGGACACCGUUUAAUGGGGUUAGGUAUUGAGAGCUCCAGUCGUCGAGUGAAGAGCGUGGUAGUCUGUGACAGAGUCAGAUUAGAACCGUGGAAUUUCUCUAGAGCAAACUACGCGAAAAUGAUUAAGUAAUUUGUAUUCAGGUGUGAGAAUGUAUAUAGUAAUUUCAUUCAUGAUGUCGUCAGUAGAUGUUAAUAUCACGUACAUUAAUAGUGAAGGAUGUGUCACUUGAGUAGUUUCAAGAGUGGAGAUCAUGAUGUUUCUUCGUUGUUUUACUUUCAGUAUUAUAUCUGUGGUAUUGGAGUGCGAGCUUUAGUAAGUCUGAAGUGAUAAUGGACGACCCUCUCAGAAUGUGUUCACCUUGGGUUACUACUUAUUCAGAUUUUGUGAUGUAGAUAUAGUGGGAGGUGAUUAGAUCUCUAUCGACCUCUGAUUUCUGCCUUAUUUUACCGACACGUUCAAUUAAUGCCGCAUGGAAUAAUAAUUUUGAGCUAUUUGAGUGAUUUUAUCUAUUUCUAUUGUGUGCUCUCCAGUCUUUUGAAGUGAUAGGCUUAGCAUAUUACAAACUGUAUUCUGCUAGAUGUCUUACGCAUUGGUGAGGAUCCGAUAAAGUUACGAGUAGUCUAAAUUGGAUAAUCAGGUUGGUGGAGUAGAUAACCUCGAACAUAGUUAUGAACAUAUAGUGUCAGCUCGCUCGAAUAUGUAGGAUUCUCAUGAUUGAUUGUAUCUGAGAAGUUGAAUAUGUACUUGAUUGUGGAGUUUGGUGUAGAGGUACGUAUUUUUAGUGCGUUUAGAGAUAUAAUAUGUAAAGCUUGUGGAGGAAUUAGGUACCAGACAAUAGGUAGUGCCCAUAGUGUACUUUGAGUUAUUCAACUCUUGUUAAGAGGUCAAGUUUUAAUUGACAGAGGGAAAUGUUUUCUAUGUGUCAUCUAUUGUUAUUUCUCAGACUUUGAUGGUUAAUAGUUUGUGUUUCUUGUCAGAGUGUAACGCUGUAGAAAGUAACUUCUUAUAUUUUAGCUGGGCUGGUAGACUUAAAAGUGUGAUAACUAUCUCCCGCAUAAACAAAUAUAGAUAUAUAUUUUAAAUUUAUAAGUUUUUUUAAUUAGUGAAUAAUAUGUAAUUGUAGAUUGAGUCACAUUAUGAUAUGAGAGAAUUAGAAAUUGUAGAUUUGAAAUUUUUUCACAACAUUCAAACAUCUAAGCAUAUACCGCUAAUUUCAGACUAAUAUAUAUUAUAUUUAGAGUUUUGUAUAUUAUUUUAUUGUAAAUUUAUAAAUUAAAUAAUUGGAGGAAUAAUCUAUGUAUUAGAGUCUAUUCUCAAUUACUUUUAAAUUGUUAUGUAUAAAUGUUUGUGAUUAUUGCGAACUGAAUUAUAUAUUAUUGCGAAAUUCUAAAAUAAUAGAGUACCACAUUUAGAAUAAAAUGGCUAAUAUUUUAGUUACUCGUGUAAAUAAGUGAGAUUUAACGCAAAACAGCGACUAAUAAUUAGAAGAAAAAUGUAAGUGACAUAAAUUGGGCAUAAAAGAUAUAGUGAUAAGUCAGCAUGAUAAGAUGUAAAGAAUCAGUGGAGAUUGGUGAAGAUAAUAGAGGGAGAAAUAUUAUGCUUAGUCACAAGAGCAUAUACAAAGAGAUAUAUUAUUGCUCCUGCAUUAGAACUUCUUACAUUUAGGGUAUAAGAGAGGAAGUGGAAUCUCUCUGUUAUUUAUUGAGUAGUAUAGUGAUUAAUAAACGAUUUGAGUAUAUGCUCAAUUGAUUGGAUCAGAGAUAAUCAAUGUCCUAUAUGGUUUUUGAAAUCACUUGUUUGCUGCAUUUUGUUUGAUUUAAUAAUAAGUUUUUUGAGCUAAGACUCACCUGUGGAGUAUCUGUGAGGAAAUAAAUUAACAGUUUUAAGAUAAUUGGUGAAUGGAAUCUAUAUACGUGAUGCAUUCUGUAUAAAUGUGUGCUAUGAGAGACUGGUGUAGUGUACGUUUUCUUUACGAGGCGUAACUACAGAUGGAACAUACAAUGUGUUAUGGUUCCGGCAAAUUCCGUGCACGAGAACGUUCGGGCGCUCCUGUGAAGAGAGAUGGACUGUAUUGCGAUUGCUAUUCCAUUCGAGUUCGAUAUAUUGUUAGUAUUGAACGUCGCCUGCAAUAAAUGAGAAGCGAGAUCAGUCAUAUUCUUGCUCCUUACUGUGUGACGUAUAAUGUCCUCAGUAAGAAUGUAACAACUGCUCUAUAGAUGAGAUAUAUAAAUAUUGUAUGAAAGAGUAAUUUUGUUCGUUGCGGUUGGGAAUCAGUGUCUUAUUCCCCGGCAGUUUACCUGGUGAAUAAUACAUGUGUUCGUUUCGAUACUAUAUCAUAUAAGUAAUAAUGCUCAAAUUAUCAUAGAGUACUUGCGUAAACAGGUUUGUCUCUCAACCUACAAAUAAGUUAGCGCUGUUGAGACACAGAAUUACCAUUAUGCAUUAACACAAAUCUGCUUUCUGUGACCAAGUUAGAAGAAACUUGUGAUAUAUUUGUAAUAAAAGAUAGUUUGUGGUACGCAUUUUUGUGAGUCAAUGUGAAUCCUGCACAUGUAGGAUGGAAUGCUAUCUAGUACUCAGUUUGAUAAGGGGAGCCUUUGUGUGACAUAGGGAAUGGUAGCUACUAGUCGCAGGAAUAAAUCCGUUGUCAUGAGAGCAUACGUUGUAUGAGUGCCAGUACAAGCGUGUUUUCAGAUCUUUGAGCCAGCUCUCUGUGCGUGAUGAACAGAAUAUUAUGUCGGGUCGCUUUUGUCAAGAGCAUUGUUAGUGAAUAUAUGAUACAACACAUAUAUUGAGCGUUAAUGCGAUAAUUUUUUCAAUGAGUAGAGUAGUGGAUCAUUGGCCCUUUCUAGUCUUGAACGACGGUUGAUAAUGGCUAAAUUAAGGAUGUGAAGAGAGUGGUGCUUGCUAUGGAAAAUGAGAGCUGGUAGUAUUAAAUUAUAUGUGUGGAACUCUAAUACGUAUCCUUCUAGAUAUGAAUUGCAUAGUGUGAUAGUAUAAAGAUCUAUGAUGCUGCAUUGAAAUGAGAGUCAAUGAAUGCGAUAAUGCAUCAAUUGAUUCUAAGGAAAAGGGACAUUAUAAAGAAUCAGUGCAUAAAGUGUAUAUGUGUAUUGUGCUAUUUGUGAUCGGCACAUAGUGAAGAUAAUAGGGCUAUCACGAGUGUGAGCAUAAUUGGAGUAUCAACAAUGUGAUGGAUUGUUGUGGAUGUUGAGAUGCUAGGUGAUUACGUGAUAGCAGCCGUUUAUGUGUUGGUAGCUAGAUUCCUCAUGGUGAGGGAAUUAGUGAGGGAGUCACUGAGGUGUCAAAUGAGUGCGACUAGGAGUCUGGGUAGGCCGCUAUCUGGGUUAUCGGAUGAGGUUGAACUAUGUGUUCAGGAAUAGUCGCGUAUCGGCACAUGGAGUCUCAUUUUCAUAAUGUAGUGUAUGGCCGUAAUAAUAUGAAGUGGAUGUAUUCCAAUAUUAUACGUGUGUUUGUGUUUGUGUUGAGGUAUGAUUAUGAGUUGAUGUUGCCGUUGCUGAAUGUGUGAUAUGAUUAGGGUGAUGAAUGUGUUAAUUUACUUAGCAUUACAUGAUAUUUUAUAAUGGCUUAUUAUAUCGAUUGAGGAACUCACCCUUACACUAUGUUUGCAGGUAACGAGCAGUGAUUGAGUAGAAGCUAGUGCUUGGAGUCUAGUGUAGUUCCUUAGGGUCGAUGCUCUGGUAUAUGUAACAUCGGGACGGGAUGUUGUUAGCUUGUUUCAUAUUUUUGGUUGUUGAACAAUUUUACAUGAAAUGUGUUACAUGGUUUGGCAUGUUGUAGAUUUCUAUCCGCUGCGAAUGUGCAAUGUUUUAUUUUGAUUAAUAAAGAUGAGCAUGACAAGUUAUUUUGGUGAAUGGUGUGAAGUGUCAAGUGUGACGAACCCUUGGUUCAAUAAAGUUCGCAAAUAUAACUUUGCCUUUAGUUAGCAUUCAGAUAUUUGUGUAUUUGCUAUUAUAAUUAUAUAAUUGCGUGUUAUUGUCAUAGUAAGUGAGUGUGGUAUAAUCAACAGUCCACUUAUAAGACAUCAGAGGAUAGUGUUUUUAGUGUUACAUAUUCCUAUUAGCUUUCUGCGUACACUAUGGCUUUCUAUUAAAGAUAUUGUUUCUCUAUCAUUACUCUCGAUGUCAUCUACACCAAUUACUCUUGGAGUGACAUAGGGUAGUGAUAUAUGCCAAUAAAACCUGUUACAUUUGAGAAAGAUCAGAAUUCGGUGGACAGUGGAAGGGUCCAAGGUGAGUUUAGUCCUCAUUCAUCACUCUCAAAGUGAUUCUACCAGGUGACGAUAGUAUAUACACAUGAUACUAUUCACAAAUCCUUCAUGGAGGCGAUCAACUUCUAUUCGUUCUGCAUAUUUUGUUAGGCGUGUCACUCAAUUUAGUUUAUGCUCUUACUUGUUAUAUGCAUUUCUGUUAUGUAAAAACGUAAUUAAAGAGAAUGUGUCUUAUAAAGCUUCGAUCUUCCUAUGACUCGGAUUUAUUGUUAAUAGAAGAUGAGAAUUUAAUUUCCACAGUUUUCUCAAGACUUUUAAUCUUUUGGAGAUAUAGUUCGAUGACUAUAUUUAACUUUAAGUUGAUGGAAAUUUAUUUUGGUAGUACUUUGAUCUGACUUAUCACAUUGUCUCAGGCCAAACAUAAAAAUAAUUCAGUACAAUAGUAAUUGAUUUGUGUGCUAGAUACUUUCAAUUAUAGGCUUCUUCUUUGCACCCUUUUGUUUGGUGCGUGUUGCUUUCCUCCUUAAUGCGCUAUUCCUACAACAUUUAGUCCAUGAUUAAAUCCGAGUAAACUCAAGAAAAAAGGCUAUUACAUUUAGCGUCCAUUCUCAUUACCAACCUCAAUCCUUUGGAAAUUUCCUUACCAUAAAAUGAGGUUUGGGAUUGAAUGUUACCACUCAAUCUCGUUUUGUAUUGACAUAACAAAUCGAUUUAAUAUUCUUUCUGUGUAGGCGAACAAAGAUUGGAGAACAAAUAAUACUAAUCCAUUAUAUAAUGAAGAAAUAUUAAAGAAUUGGAUUUGGACAAAGAGAAGAGAAUAAGGAAAAAAUCCAUUGUAUAAUACAAUGAGUUUCAACCCAAUAGUAACAUUCAAAGGAUAUAAGCAAUGGUAUUGCAAGAUUGUGUGUAAUUGAAUAAAGACCAACAGACAAAGUGAGUAACUUAAUGCCUUUCUAUAUUUUAGUCUGAACUCUCUUCAGACUAUAACCAACAAUUUUUGUGAUGUGUUUAUUGAGAAUAUAUGUAGGAACAACCCAUUUAAUCAAAAAAGGGAAAGAGCAAAGAUAUAAAUUUCCACCAAAAAAGCGCAAAGAUAAAGGUUGCUCUCUUGUGGAUAGCCGAGAGAGAAGAAUUUUAAAUCACUUGUGAGAAUUGAAAAUAGUUGGGAUUACAAUAAAUACAAAUUUCUUUUCAUAAUACAUACAUUUGGAAACUACUAAUAUUGUUCUGUUAACACCCAUGACAAUUAUCGGAUGCAAAAGAAUUGUACUAGCCAGCUUCCCAUUAAUAUAAUGAUGAGCUCAUUUCUGUCUCUUACCUCUAUUAUGGGACAUUAAAGUUUACUUGAUAUCUCUUUCUUACACCUACUGGAGAUCAUUGCGUGUAGGUUUUUUGCAUAAUAACCCUUACCUAAAUUAAAAACAUUUCAUUGUCUAUUUAUAGUGUUGGAGUGGAGAAAGCGUAUCUAUAGACACCUCUGGUUAUAAUAUAAAAGGAUAUGCCUCUCACAGGAAUCCUUCAAAGUCACGAAGAUGAUUAAUCUCAAUUAGAACAUUUGUUAAAUUAUUAACAAAUUCAAUAAAACAGCUUGAGGGCAUAGAGAGAGGAAUGGUAUUAGUAAUGUAGUCGCUGUAUCUUGUCAAGACAAAUAACUCUUUUUGUAAUCGUUGAGAAUACAGAUUUUUUAUAUCAUUUUGCGAUGUUGUCUAAUGCGUGUUACUUACUAAUGCGACCAAUAAGAAACAACUCUAUCGUCUAACUCUCUUUCUCUUUUUCGUGUUCCUCUAUUAAUACUUUUACAUGCAAUAUCAUUGCUUUUUCCACUCUCCUAGCAUGAUCUUUCUUCUUUACCUUAUUCAUAAGGAGAAAGUUGGUGUUUGCUACUUCUAUGGAUACUUACGAGAACACCAGAUCAUAUCCAUAAUCGUUCAUCUCCAUUUACCAAUAUUGCGUGUAUAAGAUAUUGAGAAGCGCAGUUAGGUCUACGAAAAAGAACUCUCUACACUUUCAAAGAUUGAAUAUACUUGUGUGAUUCCUCUGUAUGGUUGUAACACCCUUUUUUAUCAUAAAUUAACAUAAUAUAACAAAGGCCAUAUUUUUUUUCACCAAUUAUUGACAGAUGAAUAGCCCAACACAAAAAAUGUAAGAUAGAAUACUCUAGAAGAUAGUGAGAUAUUUCUCACAAUUCUCUAAGUGCAACUUUCACAAGUCUUGUGUGUAUACUCGACUUGAGGUACGCUUCCACACACAUUCCCAAAAUAUGUACCACAUUCUAGUUGCGUGACCAUUGACUGCAUGCAAUUCUUAUUAGCUUACUCCAAUAUCUAAACAUUGGGCCACAAUUAUCCGCGACUAAAGCUUUGCGAUGGGAUAGAAAAUGAUCGAUAAUUGUUAGAUAAAAUCGAGUGUCAAUAACUCUCUAGCCAAGUGGUCUUUAUUUCGAGACAGUAGAUCAUAAAUUGCUUGUCAUGAAUCUAUAUUGUGUGUGUGUCAUUAAGUUGCAACAACGAACCCAAUAUAUACUGCGAAUAAUAAUACGAGAAGCUACAACAUCUCCGUAGAACCCCUAAUUCCCACACACGAUUACUUUGGUUCUUUAUGUGAUAUCACUUAAUCACAUAGGAGAUUAGAUUCGUUACCUAGCGAUUAGUACUUUGCAAGGUGCGAUCCUCAACUACUAUCUAGGAAGACUGGCUAUAUAAUCACUAGCACAGCCUAUACGCAAUCUCAGCUAAUCUUUGAAGUACGUGCGGAGAUCUCAUACUUGCCUCAUACAUGUGACCUUAAAAUUGUGUCUAUCUCAUCUGUGAAGUUACAAAGCACUCCAUCUCAAUGUUUCAAGAGCGCUAUAGUGUAUACGCAUCAAAGUCGAACAAUUUAUUGAGACCAUUAAGCAUUGCAAUUUUGGCUUAAAAAAAUAUAAUCAAUUAUGUAAAUGCUUAGUUAGUAAAUGUGUAAAUGUCAACAUAUCCAUCACUGAUCACUUAAAUGUUUCUAAUUCACACACAUUUCAGCAACUAUAUUAAAAAAACAUAUUUUACCUAAAAUGAAUCUAGAGACAUUAAAACGGGCAACACCUCAACCUCAAAUCAUACUAACACAAUAGAUCAUAGGAUCUAAAAAUAAUCAUAAAGUGUUUCAUUAGAUAUAAUCAACUUCUGUGCAUAUUCGAAUACACUAUUACAUAACUAUCUAUAAUGACGCAUUCCAUAUCUAUCUUCUACAAUAAUGGAACGAGUAUGUGAUGUAUACUACUCUAAUUUAGCAAUUUCUAUUAAUUUGAUCUUUUAUCCUAAUUAAUAUAUAAAAAAAUACAAAAAAUUUAUGUGAUAGGAUUUCACUAGAUAUAUUAUAAUCAUUAGACUACAAAUCUAAAAAUAUGUAAUACUCGAUAAGGACUGUUGUGGGUUAUUCCUAAUUAUUAUCACAUGGAUCACUAAAUAAUUUAAUAAAAUUAUAAUUAUAUUGUGUAACUAUUACGUUAAGUUCCAGGAUUAAUUUAACGUUCUAAGUAAAUGACAUAACACAAUAUAAUAAUUAAAAAAUUAACUUAAACAUUUGCAUAAAGUUCUUAAUAAUGAAAAUAAAUUGGAUAUCAUGUACCAAUUUAAUUUAAUUUAUUUUUCACAUAAAAGGACCACAAAUCACUAUAAUAAUAAAUAAAUAGAUAUUCACAUGCCACAUUUAAUUUGUACACCAACUAUUGUUCAAUUGCACGUAUUACAUCUCCAACGUAACAUUACACUAUUUAUCUAGUACUAUAAGAGUAUUACAAUGAGACAUGUAUCAUUAUAUCAUGGUUUAAUAGAUUAUUUAAGGUCCAAAUAAAUAAAUAAAUACAAUAUACGUGGGCCCAUAGGGCUUAUAUAUAAUAAUUAAUAAUAAUAAAAUAUAAAUAAUAAUAUAAUAAUAAUAAUAUAAUAAUAAUAAUAAUAUUCAGAUUAUUUUGUUGUCUUCAGCCUCCCGUUAGCUUGUAAUGACCCACCGAUUGAGAUCAAUUUAUAGGUCUGAUUUUUUAUUCUCUCCCAUUAUGACACUUAAAUUAGAUGAUUCAAAGGCUAAGAAAAUCAAAAAGCAAGUUUCCAAAAGAUUCACAUAAUUAUUUUUGCUGUUGUUUAAUUUAUUAUCUUUUAUCAUUUUGUAAUAACUGAGUGUCCUCUAAAUUGAUAUUUUGCGUAAAUCAUAGAGUUCGAGUUGUACAUUUAUUAAAGUCGGUUUUUAUAUGCAUAUAACUCAAACCCUUCGAACAACACAUCUAUGCUCACAAUAUGAUUAAGUUAAAUUAGCCCGAAUGAUUUGGGAUUUCAAGAGACAUAAUAAUAUAUAUGAAUGGUUUAUCUUUUAUUUUGAAAAAUAAUACCCUCUCAUUCAUAUUAUCAUCAUAAUAUACUAUUAAACUUAAAUUAAAUAAUUAUCAUAUUUUAUCGGGGUGUUACAGACUGGAGCACUAAAGACGGCCAUGUAUGUAUUAAACUGAGUUCCAACCAAGGAUGUUUUAAAGACGUCCAAAGUGAGAAUCUAUAAUCCAUAAGGAACGAAACUAGAUCAUACGACUAUAAGUGGUAUUCCAAUAGAUAUGCUGAAAAGUCUAAAGGUUAUAGAUCCUACUGUCCAUCUUACAAUACUAGGAUUGUGGAAUCAAGAAAUGCAGAAUUUCUUGAGAAUGACUUGAUUAGUGGGAGUGACCAACUGGAUGACUUAGUCUUUAUGUCGGAUCAUAAUGAAGAUCAACCUUAUACUUCAAGUGAUAGACCAAUUAUCAUACACACUCCUCAAGCUCAAUCGUGUAUAAGACCACCGUUUGUUGAAAUUCCACAAGUUAAUGAUGUUGAUCCAUUAGAUCAAGUUGUUAAUCAAAAUAAUGUUUAACAACCAAUUGAGCGAUUAGGUGAAUAACUAAUUGAGCAACCGGUUGAACAACAUGUCGCUCGAUAAAAUGAUGAAACAAUAUUAAGAAGAUCUAUUAUAACACUAAGAUCGACAAUACCUAGUGAUUAUGAAAUGUAUUUGCAAGAAAUGGACUAUAACAUUGGAGUAGAGAAUGACCCUAAAACGUUUUCACAAGCUGUAAGUUCUAAAGAAUCUAACUUAUGGCACAAGGCCGUGAUUGAGGAUAUGAACUUGACGGUAACUAAUAAAGUCUGAGAUCUCGUAGAGUUGCCUGGUGGUGUAAAAUCAAUUGGGUUCAAAUGGGUAUUUAAAACAAAGAAAUACUCACAAGGAAACAUUGAGAGACAUAAAGAGAGACUUGUAGCAAAAUGGGUUACUAAAAGAGAAGGAAUUUAUCACACAAAUACAUUUUUUCAUGUAUCAAAGAAAGAUUAUCAGCGUACAAUUAUGGAAUUAGUAACUCACUUUUAUUUUGAGCUACAUCAAAUGGAUGAGAAAACGACAUUCCUCAAAGAAGAUCUAGAGGAAUAGGUUUACAUGAAACAACAUGAAGGAUUCUUCUUUAGUUAUGGUGAACACUUAGUCUGCAAGCUUAAUAAAUCCAUUUAUGGUUUGAAAUAAGCCUCUCUCCAAUGGUAUUUAAAACUCAACGAUGUCAUCCCUUUAUUCAGAUUUGAAGAGAACGUCAGAUCAAUGUAUAUACCAGAAGGUUAGUGGGAGUAAGACAUAUUUUCUUGUUUUACAUGUGGAUAAUAUUUUACUAGUAACUAAUGACAAUGGCUUACUAUAUGAGGUGAAACAAUUUCUUUCAAAGAACUUUGAUAUGAAAGAUAUGGGUGAGGCAUCUUAUGUCAUUGGAAUUGAGAUCCAUAGGAAAAGAUAACGAGGCAUUUUAGGUUUGUUUCAAGAGACCUAGAUAAAAAAAGUUUUAGAGAGAUUUCAGAUGAAAGAUUGUUCACCAAGUGUAGCACCUAUUAUAAAGGGUGAUAGAUUCAAACUAGAUUAAUGUCCAAAGAACGAAUUUGAAUGGGAACAAAUUAAGAAUAUUCCAUAUGUUUCCUAUGUAGGAAGCUUUAUGUAUGCUUAAGUUUGUACCAGACCUGACAUUGCAUAUGCUAUUGGAGUAUUUGGUAGAUAUCAAAAUAAUCUAGGGAUUGACCACUGGAAAGCUGCAAAGAAGGUUAUGAUAUACCUUCAAUGAAUAACAAACUAUGUGCUUAUGUUCAAACAUAAUAAUGAAUUAGAGGUGGUUGGCUACUUUGACGGUAACUUUACCGGCUGUACAGACUCAAGAAAAACCACUUCAGGAUAUGUUUUUAUGCUAGCUGGUGGAGUUGUGUCUUGGAAAAGCACCAAACAGACAUUGAAUGUUACUUCCACUAUGAAGGUUGAGUUUGUAUCGUGUUUUGAAGCUAAAUCUCAUGGUGUUUGGUUAAAAAGUUUCAUAUAUGGGCUUAGAUUUUUCGACUCUAUCUCUAGGUUGUUGGAAUAAAAUUGGUUUGUCUCAUAUCCCUUAGGUUGUAAUGAUAACAAAGUAUUUAAAGAACAAUUGGGUAUACUAAUAUUUGUUCAAGUGUGUAGGAUCAUAAACUAAAACUUCAUGAACAUUUCAAGUAUUGGUUAUGAUUAUGAACAUUUAAAAAGAAGCUUAAAGUCAAGAAUCUGAUGGAUCAUAAGCUGAAGACAUGACUCUGAAGAUGUCAACGUCUGUAGGUUAGAGUCUGAAGGAGUUAACAUCUGAAGAUCAGACUUUGAAGAAGUCUCCCUCUGCUGAUCAGAACCUAAAGACUAGUCAAAGCGCAAGGACUAAGGUGACUCUGAUAGGUCACUGUCAACCUCUGAACCUGCUUUGUCAUGUGAAGACCUAAGAGUUAUUUCUUCAUAGAGUCAGCUGUGAUGCAACUGAUAAUUCCUCUUAUAGCAAAGGAAUUUCAAACAUGCUUUCGACGACAUUAACCAUUUGGAGAAACUUAUCAACACCUCUAUUCAGUAUUCUCAUGAACUCUCUUGUGUUGGAUCUUCAACAACUCUUUUCCUUCUCUAUUUAAGGAGCUGAAGACUUGAAGAACUUACAAUGAACUAUUAACAUUCAAAGAGCAGUUACUCUGUCAAAAUAAAGGUACAAGUUAUAAAUUAGGAUUUCUUGUGUUUGUAUAUUCUAGAAAUUCUUAAGUCUUAAAGAGUUCUUUUUGAUUUGUAUUUUGUCUACACCUCUGAUUAUAAAUCAAAUGUAUUACCCCAAAAAAUCUUUAUCUGUUAGGUAGAUUGUUAGAAGUCUCUUACUUAAUGUUUGAGCAUUUUAAGUCUCUUGCUUGUAUGCUUGAGCAUAAAUGUCUUUUGCUUUUGUGCUUGAGCAUUGAAGUAUCUUGCUUGUGUGCUUGAGCAUAAAAGUAUCUUACUUUGUGUUUGAACAUUGGAAGUCUCUUGCUUGUGUGCUUGAGAAAAUUGUAAUCUUGUGUGACUAUAGUAAAAAUCUCUUGUAAGUACAAGGGAACUAGAUUACUCUCAAGUUGUUAGAGGAACCAGGAUAACUUUGUGUGUCUCUCUUCUUUCUUGCAUUACUUAUCCACUGCAUAUCUAUCACCUCUGAUUCAGAUUCUAUACUUUGUGUUUAGAAUCUGACUAUCUUUAAAAAGAAAGAAAAAGUCAGCACAAUUCAACCCCAUUCUUGUGUUUUUCUAACCCUCAUAGGCCACUAAAGUUGUACUGUGAUAAUUCAGCUGCUGUCUUUAUAGCUAAGAAUAAUAAAAGUGGAAGUCAAAGCAAACACAUCAACAUAAAAUAUAUAUCCAUAAGAGAAUGUGUUAAAGAUGAUAAAGUGGUCAUCAAAACACACUAGCAUUGAUUUGAUGAUUGUUGAUCCCUUAACUAAAGGCACGCCACCAAAGAAAUUUAAGGAUCAUGUAGAAAGCAUGUGACUUGGUUCCAUGAUGUAAUAUUUCAUUGUAAGGUACAUUAUUUUUCAUAAACUCUUAUUCAGUUUGAUGUUUCCUCAUAUGGUUAUGCACAUUCAUUUAAUUUUAAUUUGUUGAGAAAUAUUAUUUACGUGGACCUAGAAUAAACAUAUGGUUUAUUCACUAAAUAAUAAGUAUUAUUAGUAGAGAACUUAAUAUAUAGUAAUAUAUGUAAGAUAAUACUCGCUCAGAGAGAACCUAUCACCAUGAUUCAUACAUUUUGUUUAUUUUAUAUUAAGUGUUUUGUUAUAUGGACUAAGCGGGAGAAUGUAAGAAUAUUUAAUAUUAAUAUUUUGAUAUCAAUGAAUGAAAUAAUAUCUCCAUUAAUAUGGUCCAUAAGAAACACUUUAGACCAAACAUAAGAGUAACAUAAUAGUUUAGACUAAAUAUAACGUAUACACUUUUGAAACUCGCCGAAAACACAACAAUGAUCGGAGGUAACUCGAUUCCUUACACUUUCGCUUAAGCGUGUUCAUAUUGUUUAGAGCAUUGUUUGUAUGUAUAAAAGAAUUUUUACACUCCACACCAAAAAUCAAUUCAAACAUUUAUUGUUUCUCCAUCACCAAGAGACUAAGAUGAGUUAGCUUGAAUUAUUUGAAAAAUGAAGAAGAAAGAAGACAAAAGAGUGAAGAAAUUUCUUGCCACUAACUUUGGUUUGGAUUGUUCCAUGUUGCACGUAUCAUGGUGAAGUGUCUAUGAUAACAUACACUAGCAUCAUGUCCUGUUUUGUAAUAAAUUUUACGUUGUACUUUGAAGUGACCUCCAAAUAUACUUUGAAGAGAUACUACAUCGUGGUAACCGUUGUAGUGCGAAUCAAAGAAGAACGGUGGAAAAGUUACCUGCCGGAGCAACUCUGACAGUUCUUCAAGGUGUUGACGUUGAUCAAAAGACAAUCCCGAGGUCUUCAUCUUCAGGUAAUGUGACUACUGUUUCCUUUGCUCAAAUUGUGAAUUGUGUCAGAAUCUUCUUCUUCUCCUCUCACCUUGAGCCUUCUGAAUGAACGCGUGUGAGAGUAGGGAAUAAUGCUAGAGGGAGAUUUGAGAGAAU